GACGGAGGGUGCAAACGUUGUUCGGAAUCACUGGGCCUAAAGAGCACGUAGGCUGCGCGCUAAGUCAGGUGUGAAAUCCCCCGGCUCAACCGGGGAACUGCACCUGAUACUGGCGUGCUCGAGGACGGUAGGGGUGAGUGGAACUCCAGGUGGAGCGGUGAAAUGCGUAGAUAUCUGGAGGAACACCGGUGGCGAAAGCGGCUCACUGGACCGUCUCUGACGCUGAGGUGCGAAAGCUAGGGUAGCAAACGGG
rnacentral:rRNA from 1 species